CACGCAGGCGGAUUGAUAAGUCAGGGGUGAAAUCCCGGAGCUCAACUUCGGAAUUGCCUUUGAUACUGUCUAUCUUCGAGUUCGGGAGAGGUUGGCGGAAUUCCUAGUGUAGAGGUGAAAUUCGUAGAUAUUAGGAAGAACACCAGUGGCGAAGGCGGCCAACUGGCCCGAUACUGACGCUCAUGUGCGAAAGCGUGGGGAGCAAACAGGAUUAGAUACCCUGGUAGUCCACGCUGUAAACUAUGGAUGCUAGCCGUUGGGGAGCUUGCUCUUCAGUGGCGCAGCUAACGUCUUAAGCAUCCCGCCUGGGGAGUACGGUCGCAAGAUUAAA
rnacentral:rRNA from 1 species